GAGAAGAAAGGGGGGAGAGAGUGUGAGGAGCUGUUUUGUGGUGCUGAUGCUGCAGCACAGUGAUGUGAGGACGACUAACACUGAAAGUGAGGGGUUGGAUCCCCCUGAGGGCCACCCAUGGGAGAGGAUCACGGCGCUGUUACACAUCAUGGACAAUGAAGCUGACCCCUCUUCAGCUGCAAGUGAUCAAAGGAUUUGGGAGGUAAUUCCCCUGGAAGCGCUUGGAUGAGAGCGAUGGAGGUGAUAAGAGGGUUAUGAUGAGGAGCAGGGCCCUCAUUAACAGCCCGGCCAUUAGUGAAUAGUGUUAUGGUAUGUGACUGGGUCUGGGGACCACUGUUUUCGCUGACACAGGAAUGCAGAAGCUGCCUCUGGCGACAGUAAUUGGACCCAGAGGAGUCCUGACAUAUGAGCUGGGGGAAUCUUCAGCUGCUCUGAAUCGACCUACUUGCUGCAUGGAUAUGUAGGCACGAUUGAGACUGAGUGUGUGUGAGUACAUCGACUUAUGCUGUAGCAUCUGCACUUCUCUGCAGUGAAUUUUUUUUGUUCAAUUGCCUUCGGUAUUGAAUCAUUAUUGAUUGCCCUGAGGUCUUCAACCCGCUCUUCUCAGCCUGGAAUGUGCUGAGUCAGGAGAGAUGCUGUGAACUGCCUGAUUUUGCAUGAGAAAUGCAUGAAUACAUUUUUUGGGGGGGGGGAAAUGCUGCAGGUAGGAGAUCAGAUUUAAGCUUUAAUACUGUAUUUUAUCACUGCCUCAGCAGAAUUUGAUUGUUGAAUUUAGUCAAACUUAAGUCUCACAUGAUCGCCUGAUACUUUUCUUUUUUUUUCAAAACUCUUUUCUCUAAAUUUUCCUGCACACUUUGCUGUAGAAAGCUAACAUUGUUUCUUAAAGGAACAGUUAGUACAUUUUGUUCCGAGGGUCAGAUAAGAGGACCGAUAUCACUGUCAAGUCUGUGCGGUAAAUAUGAAGUUAGAGCCAGCAGUCUGGUAGCUUAGCUUAGCUCAAAGACUGAAAACAGACUCCAGGAAGUCACUGCACCCUACCAAGAAAUAGUCAGGCACCAUCGGUAAAACCAGCGCAACCAGUAAAACCAGUGUUGCUUUUACACUUUUUUUGUAUGGGUGCUGGCAGGCAGAUUUUGUUUCCCCCUGUCUUUAUGCAAAGCUAAUUUAGCCAGCUGCUGAUGGUAGCUUCAUACUGUAGAGACGUGGCUCCAUGCAGAAAAUCUCUGGACACUUCUUCAUUCUCAUCCAACCACAUGACGACAAAUGGUUCAAACCAGCUGCAGAACAAGGAACGAGCAGAGACAACAUGAGUCUUCGUGCCACAGUGAUAAAUGAGAGAGGAAGAGUGUGGAUGCUGUUUAUAAGAUACUUACGCUGGGUAUUCAGGUAAACAUUCAGAGUAAUGGUUGAGGGACUGACGUCAUGGCCUGGUAGAUGGACUCUACUCCGUAUCUCAUGGCAAACUCGUCCACUAUCUCCUGAGCCGUCUCCUCAAAAUACACCUUCCAGGCAUCGUCCCCU